CUACCCUUCUCCCACUCGCUGCCUCCUUUCUCUGCUUAUAACCACAUAUGUCACAUGUCCUGUGUCUAUGCCCCCACUGCCCUGUCUGGCCACUCUGCAAAUCAUUUCCCCUACCUGCUGCCUUGUUUCUGUACUUGCUGCCACAUUUCUCUUACCAACCAUCUGCAUCUCCCACUGUCUUUUCUUUCUGAUGCUAAUUCCUUCCACGGGAUGCUUCUUUUUUGUUUUCAGACAGGGUCUCGCUCUGUUGCCCAGGCUGGAGUGCAGUGGUGUGAACAUGGUUCACUAUAGCCUCAACCUCCCUGGCUCAGUCAAUCCUCCCACCUCACCUCCUACAGGCGUGGGCCACCAUGCCAGGCUGAUUUUUUAAUUUUUUGUGGAGAUGGGGUCUCACUAUGUUGCCCAGGCUGAUCGUGAACUCCUGCGUUCAAGCAGUUUUCUUGCUUAGCCUCCCAAAGUGUUGAGAUUAGAAGUGUGAGCCACCUAAAGCAGGCCCUUUUUUAUUUUCAGAGACGGGGUCUUGCUCUGUCCUCCAGCCUGGAAGGGAGUGGUGCAAUUACGGUUCACUGAAGCUUCGAUCUCCCAGGCUCAAGCAAUCCUUCCACCGCAGCUUCCCACGUAGCUGGGACCACAGGCACAAGGUAUCACAUCCCGGCUAAUUUUUAACUUUUUUGUAAGGACAGGGUUUCACCAUGUUGCCCAGGCUGGUCUCAAACUCCUGGCCUCAGCCUACCAAAGUGCUGGGAUUACAGGCGUGAGCUACUGCACCCAGCCUGUAAUGAUUCUCUUACUGUUCAUGCUGCCACUUUUCUUCCCCAUGAUGCCUUGUUUCUGUUCCUUUCAUCACAUAUCUGUCACCUGCGACCUCUUUCCUCUAUCCAUAGGCCCAUUUUGUAGUCCACAGCCUCCUUCCUUCCUUCCUUGCUUCCUUCCUUCCUUCCUUCCCUCUCUCCCUCCUUCCCUCCCUCUCUCCUUUUUCUUUCUUUCUUCCAUUUUUUUUUGUUUGUUUUUGUUUUUGACAGGGUCUCACUCCGGUCACCCAGGCUGGAGUGCAGUGGUGCAAUCAUGGCUCACUGGGCUGGGCGCGGUGGCUCACGCCUGUAAUCCUAGCUCUUUGGGGGGCCG
rnacentral:lncRNA from 10 species